rnacentral:rRNA from 1 species
UGCUGGAGGUAUCAGAAGUGCGAAUGCUGACAUAAGUAACGAUAAAGCGGGUGAAAAGCCCGCUCGCCGGAAGACCAAGGGUUCCUGUCCAACGUUAAUCGGGGCAGGGUGAGUCGACCCCUAAGGCGAGGCCGAAAGGCGUAGUCGAUGGGAAACAGGUUAAUAUUCCUGUACUUGGUGUUACUGCGAAGGGGGGACGGAGAAGGCUAUGUUGGCCGGGCGACGGUUGUCCCGGUUUAAGCGUGUAGGCUGGUUUUCCAGGCAAAUCCGGAAAACCAAGGCUGAGGCGUGAUGACGAGGCACUACGGUGCUGAAGCGACAAAUGCCCUGCUUCCAGGAAAAGCCUCUAAGCAUCAGGUAACAUCAAAUCGUACCCCAAACCGACACAGGUGGUCAGGUAGAGAAUACCAAGGCGCUUGAGAGAACUCGGGUGAAGGAACUAGGCAAAAUGGUGCCGUAACUUCGGGAGAAGGCACGCUGAUAUGUAGGUGAAGCGACUUGCUCGUGGAGCUGAAAUCAGUCGAAGAUACCAGCUGGCUGCAACUGUUUAUUAAAAACACAGCACUGUGCAAACACGAAAGUGGACGUAUACGGUGUGACGCCUGCCCGGUGCCGGAAG